CCUACGGGAGGCAGCAGUAGGGAAUCUUUCACAAUGGGCGAAAGCCUGAUGGAGCAACGCCGCGUGCAGGAUGAAGGCCUUCGGGUUGUAAACUGCUUUUAUAAGCGAGAAAUAUGAUGGUAACUUAUGAAUAAGGAUCGGCUAACUACGUGCCAGCAGCCGCGGUCAUACGUAGGAUCCGAGCAUUAUCCGGAGUAACUGGGUGUAAAGAGUUGCGUAGGUGGCAUAAUAAGUAGCUAGUGAAAUCUGGUGGCUUAACCAUUCAGACUGUUAGCUAAACUGUUAAGCUCGAGACCGUUAGGGGUAGCUGGAAUUUCUAGUGUAGGAGUGAAAUCCGUAGAUAUUAGAAGGAACACCAAUAGCGUAGGCAGGUUGCUGGGACGGUUCUGACACUAAGGCACGAAAGCGUAGGGAGCAAACGGGAUUAGAUACCCGAGUAGUC
rnacentral:rRNA from 1 species